GGAAAAAGCCUGAGCUAUGGCGUCAACCUUGUGAGGUUUUGCGUUGAGUACUGAAGGUGCUCAGGUGGACUUUGACUUUGGAGGGCUUUAGGCGGAAUUGCACCGACCUUUACUUGUCAGGCGUUUCUGCCUUCUGCACGUUCGAGCUUGUGGUGUGGACUGUUGGAUGAGUUUCCUAUUUUCAUACGGUCUGUGUGAGAUUCUUCAUUUGGGGUCCUCAUAGAAUUCCGUCCCCUCAGUAGGCUGCUGUCAGGAGUGGGAUGUGGUCAUUUGGGUCCGGUUCACUUGUGCUGCACUGAUUAAGAUGCCUCGAUUAACGGUGGAUGUGCUCAUGCACCACGGCUAUUGUGUUUGUUGACUGGGUAAAUUUGAAAGACGCAACCUUCCAUUGUGAUGAAAAUCUUUGUACAUUGUAUUUCUAGGAUAAUACAGUUUUUAAGGGUUGUACCCACAGAACUGUAUCCGUGGCAUAGCUCAUUUCUGUAGACUCCAGUACAAAUUGCUACAAUGCAGUCAUUCCAACCAUUACAUAGGCUAUAAUAAUUAAGGAGAUAUUAAAUAAAAAAUAAUGUUUAAUAGUCAUGCAUACUAAGAUAAGCUAAUUAAUUAUACAGUAUUAAAAUGAGAGUACAAUCAUUGUGCUUAACCAUAAGUCAGCCCUAGCCAAAUUGUUACAGCUGGAAACCAACAUGGAAUAUUCUAUUUAAAAGGGACAGAAUACAAGGGUUUAGGUCAGUUUUAUGGUGGAUCUGCCAAAUGAAAUAAUCAUAUAUUGUAAAAUUAAUACUUUAUUGUUCCAUUAACAGAAAAUUUUGCAAGCAAGCCCCAAAAAUCUAAUUCAGCAUACAGUGCAACAAAUAAAGUAUCACUUUUAUGGGAAAUGAA